GACGAACGCUGGCGGCGUGCUUAACACAUGCAAGUCGAACGGAAAGGCCCUGCUUUUGUGGGGUGCUCGAGUGGCGAACGGGUGAGUAACACGUGAGUAACCUGCCCUUGACUUUGGGAUAACUUCAGGAAACUGGGGCUAAUACCGGAUAGGAGCGCCUGCUGCAUGGUGGGGGUUGGAAAGUUUCGGCGGUUGGGGAUGGACUCGCGGCUGAUCAGCUUGUUGGUGGGGUAGUGGCUUACCAAGGCUUUGACGGGUAGCCGGCCUGAGAGGGUGACCGGCCACAUUGGGACUGAGGUACGGCCCAGACUCCUACGGGAGGCAGCAGUGGGGAAUAUUGCACAAUGGGCGGAAGCCUGAUGCAGCAACGCCGCGUGCGGGAUGACGGCCUUCGGGUUGUAAACCGCUUUCGCCUGUGACGAAGCGUGAGUGACGGUAAUGGGUAAAGAAGCACCGGCUAACUACGUG
rnacentral:rRNA from 1 species